CCCUUUAUAUUUUCCUAUUGUAUGUGUCAAGCACUAUCCGCAACUAAAACCUCUCAAGUCUCAUCCAUUUGAUUUCCAAUAUUUGCUUCCAUUUUUAUCUGGCAAUUCACAAAUGGCUUCUUCAAGUCGUCACCAAAAGCAACUGUCACUCACUCCUCGUGAUAAUCACUCUCAUGCCUGCAUAAUCCAGGAGACGAAAACUUCAUUUUCCAAGAUGACCAUAACCACCGGGACGCCGCACAAUCAGCGGCCUAUAUCGAAGGGAAAUCAUAUUGCCCUUGAACAAGGAGUCGUCAACAAAAUAAAGAAGCCUACCAUCGACAAACAGAGGCUAGUCGUUAAGGAGCAGAAGCAUGAGUUCAGAGAAAAGAAGAUCGUGAGCUCCUACACUGCAGUAGAGAAGGAGAAGAAGCGAAUCCCGCACAAGCAUAGAAGCGGGGGCACUUUAGAAGUCACCGUCAAAACAAAAUUUUGACAUUAUCAUCUCUCCGUCACCGAAGCCAUCGCAAACUUGAAGUUCCAGAAUUUCUCUGGUGGUGUGCACGUCAGAAGGCAACUUGCAUGUAUAAUUAGCAAUUAUGCCGAUGUAGAACGUUUUUUUUUUUUUUUGUUAAAUAUGUAUUUCCCUAUGGUUUCCCUUGUUAUCAAUACCCCCCCGGCCUUAAAAUAAAAGGGUUCUUGUUACAUUGUGUAUGUUUAAUUGAGGAUUAAUCCUCUUCAGGCAAUAUAUAUCAGGUUUGAUGUGUGGAUUGUA